rnacentral:rRNA from 1 species
GACGAACGCUGGCGGCGUGCUUAACACAUGCAAGUCGAACGAAGUGGCGAACGGGUGAGUAACGCGUAAUCAACCUGCCCUUCAGAGGGGGACAACAGUUGGAAACGACUGCUAAUACCGCAUACUGAAGGAGGGGAUUGCGUCUGAUUAGCUCGUGGGAGGGGUAACGGCCCACCAAGGGGAUGAUCAGUAGCCGGGCUGGGGGGGUGGACGGCCACAUUGGGACUGGGACACGGGCCAGACUCCUACGGGAGGCAUCAGGGGGGAAUCUUCCGAAAUGGACGGAAGUCUGACGGAGCAACGCCGCGUGGGUGAUGGCGGCCUUCGGGUUGUAAAGCUCUGUUAAUCGGGACGCGGUACCGGAAUAGAAAGCCACGGCUAACUACGUGCCAGCAGCCGCGGUAAUUC